GACAGAGGGUGCAAACGUUGUUCGGAUUUACUGGGCGUAAAGGGCGCGCAGGCGGCUUUGUUUGUCAGGCGUGAAAGCCCCGGGCUUAACCUGGGAACUGCGCUUGAUACGGCAGGGCUAGAGUUCGGGAGAGGAGCGUGGAAUUCCCAGUGUAGAGGUGAAAUUCGUAGAUAUUGGGAAGAACACCGGUGGCGAAGGCGGCGCUCUGGACCGAGACUGACGCUGAGGCGCGAAAGCGUGGGGAGCAAACAGG
rnacentral:rRNA from 1 species